AUGGAAUCAAGAUCCCUUCCAGGAAAGAGGCGUUCUGUCCUCAGCAGGAGAAAGAUCAGGUGGGGGCGGGCACCUGGGGCCACUGUAGGGAGGUCCCAGGGUGGGGAGCCUCCCCUAGCUUUCUCACUGCCAGGGUCUCGUAGGAGACUCGGCGCCGCCGGCUCGCCCAGCCCCCACUCCACCUGGCCCGGGCACCAGCCCGUUGCAUCAGCGGCUCCUGCCGCUUCCGCCCGCGCCCUACCAGCCACGCCGGGCCAGGAGGGGGUUGGAAACAGAAACUUUACUUCCACCCCUCCCAGCUCCCUCCCAUCUAGGCCUAACGAGCCCGGGACGGCCCUCGACGCCCCGAUCCCGGGGGAGCGACGCGGGUCCCGCGCAGGCCGGCAGGAGUGCCAGCGAUCAGCACAUCUUUGCGAGUGUCUGGCAAGUGCCCACAUCCUUGCGUUUGCUGCUGCCAGCCCUGCACAUGGACAGCUGCCCUGCCCACUGUCUGUCACCUUCAGCCCAUCUCUCCAAUUUCUCCUCCGUUUGGUCUGUCCUCACCCCUCCGCUAAAGAGUUCACUAGCCUGCAGUGCUGUGAUCUUCCUGAGACAGGAGAUCAGGGUGCAGCAAAGCUGGCUGGAGAGGCAGGUGUGACCUGGUAAUUACAAAAUCCCAGGACAUGGGACACUUCCCUAAACCCGCUUGGACUUCUCUCAAGAACUCGAGCUGGUUUUCUAUACCAUAACCUUGACCUGACUCCAGCCUGAAGAGUGACACAAAAAGGACAGUACACACCAAUUUUUGCCACUAGGUCACUCUGGCAUGGUGGCUACCCUCAUGCUGUAGGGUAUACUUUUUUCCCACUUUUACUUGGCCCAAACUUGCUGUGGAGAACCUGUUUCUUUUCCUACCUUUAAUAAAACAUGGCUACUAU
rnacentral:lncRNA from 1 species